rnacentral:rRNA from 1 species
AUUGAACGCUGGCGGCAGGCCUAACACAUGCAAGUCGAGCGGAUGAGGAGAGCUUGCUCUCUGAUUUAGCGGCGGACGGGUGAGUAAUGCCUAGGAAUCUGCCUGGUAGUGGGGGAUAACGUUCCGAAAGGAACGCUAAUACCGCAUACGUCCUACGGGAGAAAGCAGAGGACCUUCGGGCCUUGCGCUAUCAGAUGAGCCUAGGUCGGAUUAGCUAGUUGGUGAGGUAAUGGCUCACCAAGGCGACGAUCCGUAACUGGUCUGAGAGGAUGAUCAGUCACACUGGAACUGAGACACGGUCCAGACUCCUACGGGAGGCAGCAGUGGGGAAUAUUGGACAAUGGGCGAAAGCCUGAUCCAGCCAUGCCGCGUGUGUGAAGAAGGUCUUCGGAUUGUAAAGCACUUUAAGUUGGGAGGAAGGGUUGUAGAUUAAUACUCUGCAAUUUUGACGUUACCAACAGAAUAAGCACCGGCUAACUUCGUGCCAGCAGCCGCCGUAAGAC